AGUGAACGCUGGCGGUAGGCCUAACACAUGCAAGUCGAACGGCAGCACAGUAAGCGCUUGCUCUUACGGGUGGCGAGUGGCGGACGGGUGAGGAAUACAUCGGAAUCUACUUUUUCGUGGGGGAUAACGUAGGGAAACUUACGCUAAUACCGCAUACGACCUACGGGUGAAAGCAGCGGAUCUUCGGACCUUGCGCGAUUGAAUGAGCCGAUGUCGGAUUAGCUAGUUGGCGGGGUAAAGGCCCACCAAGGCGACGAUCCGUAGCUGGUCUGAGAGGAUGAUCAGCCACACUGGAACUGAGACACGGUCCAGACUCCUACGGGAGGCAGCAGUGGGGAAUAUUGGACAAUGGGCGCAAGCCUGAUCCAGCCAUACCGCGUGGGUGAAGAAGGCCUUCGGGUUGUAAAGCCCUUUUGUUGGGAAAGAAAAGCAGCAGGUUAAUACCCCGCUGUUCUGACGGUACCCAAAGAAUAAGCACCGGCUAACUUCGUG
rnacentral:rRNA from 1 species